CAGUAAUAUCCUUGGUGGAGCAACUUGUGGGAUAAAGAUCUAGCCCCCAAAUAGUUUCCGCAGAUUCCUUCAUGCACUUCCCACAAGACGUAGUCAGCUUCCGAAGGCCGGAGACAUUUUAAGAGGGGCAAAGAUUAUGAUCUCUUGUACAAUUUGCCCUCAUAAAGGAUGUAUCGGGAGGCUUGAUUUCGGAGCUUCCGAGCUUCUUUCGCAUCCUGGGGGAGAACCCCGUCUCUGAGAUAUGU
rnacentral:lncRNA from 1 species